rnacentral:rRNA from 1 species
GCAAGUAGAACGCUGAAGGAAGGAGCUUGCUCUUUCCGGAUGAGUUGCGAACGGGUGAGUAACGCGUAGGUAACCUGCCUGGUAGCGGGGGAUAACUAUUGGAAACGAUAGCUAAUACCGCAUAACAGUAGAUAUCGCAUGACAUUUGCUUAAAAGGUGCAAUUGCAUCACUACCAGAUGGACCUGCGUUGUAUUAGCUAGUUGGUGGGGUAACGGCUCACCAAGGCGACGAUACAUAGCCGACCUGAGAGGGUGAUC